rnacentral:lncRNA from 10 species
GCUCCGUGGCACCCGGCAGCCUCCCAGGAGACAGCCAGGCAGGAGUGAUGAUCAGGAUUGUGUUCAGUUUUCAGCAUGUUUCCAUGUACCCAAAAGUUAAGAGUCCCAUCUACCUCUAUAGUAAAACAAAAUGAUAGUAAAUACAUUCCAUAAAAAUGUUUUUCAAGCCAUCAGUUUUGUUUCCGGCCUUAUCUGUCAGUAUUCCUUUCAGGCACAUUCUGAGAUUCACAACUGUGUUCUUUAAACAGCCAAAAUUCCCUCUUCUCCAGCAUGAGCUGGAGGGUCAAGGGGUGAUGGGAGCUGGUGGCUGCUGCAGAAACAGGUUCUUGCUGGGCCUUCCAACUCACUAAGCAGGCUGUGGGGCCUUGCUCUCCAUGCUCUUCUGCCUUCAUACUUGCUGAAUCCGAAGGCAAGAUCCUCUCCGAUGUUACCUCUUGUUCAAUAAACCUGCAAAUUCGCGAUACUGCCACCUCUAGUCGCCCUGGGAUGUCCACUGCAUCACCCACUUAGCACAGGCCCAUUAUGACUCCCUGAAGCACAGGCUUCCAGCUCAGAGGGCAGCGCACUGUCUCCACCCCUGCCCAAUGAUCCACUCAGACCCGGGAGGCUGUGGACAGCGCGUCCUCUGAAAUGCUGGUCUCCACACCUGCCUGGGGCUGGGGCACCAUGGGUGGAUAAAGAAACUGACCAGCAGAAAGUGACUAUUCUGCACGUGCAGGCGUGCACACAAGGUAAUUACCCACAAGCCUGCAGAAACUCACACGAGCACAACUGCCUCGCUUUCCCAUUCAUAUGUGUGGCACAGCUUACUGGCUGGUGCUAGCAUACUACACAUAAAUACAUUUAUAGGAAAAUAAUUAAAAUGCUGAAGUCUAUCUAUUUGAACUUCUUCCUCAUCGGUAAAGCUGGGAAAGCUCACUACUGUGUAGCUGGUGCCAAGGAGCAGCCUGAGACCCCGCCUGCAGCUGUCCCUAAGACUUUCCUCUCCCCAUACAGAAACCAGUUCUACUUCUUCACUGUUCUUCUUUCUUCCCUCUGGAAUUCAGGGGUUAAAUCCCUUCCAGGGUAUUUGGAUGCCUGCAGGAAGGAAACUGGAGAGAGGGCCCAGCCCUGUGCAGCACAAGGCUCCCUGCUCAGUGUGGCACCAGUUGGGCAGCCGUCAACAUCUGUGCCAGUGUUGCCACCUGGGCAAGUCUCUGUUCCUGGGGCAUGUCCAGGUGCAACAUGAAGAACAUCGUCAUCCUUUCUCGCCUGGUUCACUCCAUCGCAGGAUGGAGCCCACCAGCAGGGAACCCAGACUUCCUUGACCCAGAUGGUGGCUGUCCCUGUAUGAGGGCUCUUCAGAAACGCCAGGACAGGCCCAGGGCAUUUUCAGGAGCUCUUAGCAAAGCAGCCUCAGUCCGUUUCCUGGCAAUACCCUACACUAAACCAGCCUCUGGGGAGAGACCUGUGGCAGGGAGGAAUGCAGACGCCCUGCUGGCCUGUCUCUGACCCCUCACAUGCUGCACUCAUAUUAAUUUUCCAGGAUUCCUGAAGUCCAGCCUCAAGGGAUAUGUGACAGAAAAAAGGGAAUCAAAUGCUCUUUUGUCCUAUGGGCAAACUUGCUUUAAUUUAAAGCACUGUGAGGGCUGAAGGCAGAUGAUCCUGUCUCCAAGCAUGGACUCUGGCCAGAACCCCCUGGAGGGCAGAAGGCAGGGAGCUGUCUGCAGAAGGGCCAGUGGGGUCCACCCCCAGGGGCAGCAGGGAUGGUCACGAAGGAAACCAUGCCAGGAAGGGCAGGUGGUGGACCUCAGAGAACGGCACAAAAUCGUAGCACCCAGACACGAGGCAAAAACUCCUAUCUGGUCAGAUCCUGAUGCACUCCAGGUCCCUGUCUGUCCUGGAGCAUUCGUGUGACCCAGCAGUGUCCUGGAGACAACAAUGAGGCUGUGGGGGACAGCGGGGUCCCGAAUGUUCCUUCUGUAUAUUCCCAUUGACACAGAAAGGUCAUAGUGCAUUUCUCAAAGCACUGCCAAUCUAAAUGGUCAGGGGGGGUCUGAUAAGUAUAUCUAUAUCUGAUAUGGGGCCUUGCUUUGUCACCCAGGCUGGAGUGCAGUGACACGAUCAUGACUGAUUGCAGCCUCGACCUCCCGGGCUCAAGCAAUCCUACUACCUCAGCCUCCUGAGUAGCUGGGACUACAGCUACGCAACUGUGCCACCUCAGAGAAGUAGAUUUUUAAACAAACCCAAUUUUCUCUUGCUGUUAACAACACUGAAGACUAGUAGCAGAGGAGUGAAAGUGUGGGUUAAGAGCCUUAAAAACUUGUGGAAAGGGCUCGAUGCCAGUGGAGAGCACUUAGUUAUUUCAGUGAGAAGAGAGCACCUAAACCUGGGUCUGAAAACACAUGAAAACUCCAGGCCUUGCUCCCGGCCCUUCUGCACAUUGGGGGCGGGGCCAGAGCUCCACUGAUGGCCUUGCUCAUGACUUCAUCUAGAAACUGAGCAACAGGAUUUCUAGAUUUCAACGCCCAAAGCAUCCACCCACCCACAGAGACCAUCACACCAACACAAGCAUGAAUACAAAGUGAAAGCAUGUUCUUGGCAUGAAAACCAUCUACUCACACCCCACCUUGCUCCUAAAGUAGCAGAACCUGUUCCACCAGCCAGGGGUUUAUACUCCCUAUCUUAAUGGGAUUAAUGGUUUUCAUGGGGCCAUAAUAGACUCCAAUUUAAGAGAUUUUCAAGAAUUGCCAUAGAAUGUUUUGUGGUGGUUAAAAAGGUCUUCCUCAAACUGUUAGAAAAAGCAAAAUUGUUAGUAUAGGUUUACUUUAACCAGGCUCUUUUAAAGAUAAAUGCUGCAAGAUAGGUUUUCAGAGCUCAGAUUAAUUAAAUGAGAGUUAAGAUCGGAGUCUCAAUAAACACUAAUGUGCUGUUCUCAUCAGAUUCUGACAUCCUCUGUACUUUCUUCUUGACUUAACAGGGGUCUCCUCUCAACCUUUUCCAAAGCAAUGUGACGGUUUCUUUUCCAAAAGGUAAAAAAAAAACCCAAACCCCCAAACCUUCCCCCAUUUUGAAUGAUUCCUGGGGGGAAUUCAUUUGUUUUUUGCAAUCAGAGUCUGAAACCUGGGCUGCAGGUCAACAAUCUCGAGCAGUUAUGAAAAGACCAGGGUUACUGGAGACCAAGAAAGGAACGAGCGGAGGAAGGAAGGAAGGAAGGAAGGAGAGGGGCCGGGGAUUUUGUGCAAGAUUUAAUAAAAAACAAACAAAAAUAGGAAUGGUUGCUUUCAACAUUUUCCAGGUUGUGAAAGGUUUGCCACGACUCUCAGGGGUGUGGUUCUAAGCUGCAUCAGUGGAACAAAUACAAAAUGCUGUCCUCCUCCUGGGCUGCUGGGCCUUAAUACUGACAGUGAGUGUGGCGGGUCACAGCCAGGAAAGGAC